rnacentral:rRNA from 1 species
AGACAGCAGUCGCCGCGGUAAUCCGUAGGUCCCGAGCGUUGUCCGGAUUUAUUGGGCGUAAAGCGAGCGCAGGCGGUUAGAAAAGUCUGAAGUGAAAGGCAGUGGCUCAACCAUUGUAGGCUUUGGAAACUGUUUAACCUGAGUGCAGAAGGGGAGAGUGGAAUUCCACGUGUAGCGGUGUAAUGCGUAGAUAUAUGGAGGAACACCGGUGGCGAAAGCGGCUCUCUGGCCUGUAACUGACGCUGAGGCUCGAAAGCGUGGGGAGCGAACAGGAUUAGAGACCCCUGUAGUCCCUGUCUCUUAUACA